CCACACACUUGAAUCAAAGUCGGCAACAGAGUGCCAUCGACAGUUCGACACUCUCUUUCUCACCUUUAUCAGGUAUCAUCUUCAAACUCUGUAAUGGUUAUAUUUCAUAUUGAUAUAGGUAUGUAGAUUAAUGGACCUACAUGAAAAGUGCGUGAAAUAUUAAGUCGUCCAUGACUCGUUGGAGGUGGAAGAGAGCUAGCUACUGCUCUAGGAAUCCAGUUUUGGAGUUUGAAGGUCAUGUUCUUGUGGCUAUCUUUUCGGGGGUUCUGAUUGGACCAGGGUGUCUAAAGUUCAGUUCAUCAGUGAGAAGGUACUACUAGCAUAUGUGAUUCUAGUUUUACUUGUAAAGACUACUGUAGUUGCUUGUCUGGUUACUAUGAAUCUAUUGUAUAUAGCUCUAGUUUUUUCAAUCUCGGUUCUUGUAAACUUGAUGAACAUUAGUAUUUCUCUGUUAGACCGUGAGCUAAAAGUUUUUGGUGGUUCAACUUUAUUCUGAUAAUACUUUUAUUUCAUCGACAUGAUUCAUGGUGAAACAACUCUUAGAAACAGAAUUCUUUUUGGUGGACUCACCAAACGCAUGACAGAAAACGUAGUAACUGAUGUUAUUCAAGCUCUUGAAGGUGUAGAGGGAAAACACACCUUAUUCAAAGGAACAAAGUAAGUUUGGUUUUCAAUUUAGUCUUCUCAAUAUUGAAGUUUGUUUUUAUUUAUCUACACAAGCAUUAAACUAUACUUUGAUGUUCAUUUAGAGGUCAUUUUUUGUUUGUUUUAGAAGCAUACUCUUUUGAUUUUCUUAUGAGCUUAAGCUUACAUGAUCUUCAGGAUAUGUUUGUCGAUUGCUACAUUUUUUAGUCAUGUUAUGGUGUAACUAUAUUCGUGGCUUCAGUUUUACCAGCUAGAAGCAUUUAUACUAAGAAGACAUAACAGAAAAAUUCAAAAUUCAAACAGGUUAAGUACCAAGUGUACACUCACGAAAUAUCUAUUUUUAAUUUUUUCUAGAGGUAUAUAAAAUUUGAUUCUGAUAAUGUACGGGUGAUGUUUGCAGACAUAUACUAGGUGAAGCUGCUAGCGCUUCGAACGUCAAAGACUUAAGACCUAGAAGGAAUAUUGGACGAAAAGAAUCAGCGGAAUAAGAUCCAAAAAGGUACCGAGUGAACAUUCCUUUUU